rnacentral:rRNA from 1 species
CCUACCAAGGCGACGACGGGUAGCCGGCCUGAGAGGGUGACCGGCCACACUGGGACUGAGACACGGCCCAGACUCGUACGGGAGGCAGCAGUGGGGAAUAUUGCACAAUGGGCGGAAGCCUGAUGCAGCGACGCCGCGUGAGGGAUGACGGCCUUCGGGUUGUAAACCUCUUUCAGUAGGGAAGAAGCGUAAGUGACGGUACCUGCAGAAGAAGCGCCGGCUAACUACGUGCCAGCAGCCGCGGUAAUACGUAGGGCGCAAGCGUUAUCCGGAAUUAUUGGGCGUAAAGAGCUCGUAGGCGGUUUGUCGCGUCUGCUGUGAAAGACCGGGGCUCAACUCCGGUUCUGCAGUGGGUACGGGCAGACUAGAGUGAUGUAGGGGAGACUGGAAUUCCUGGUGUAGCGGUGAAAUGCGCAGAUAUCAGGAGGAACACCGAUGGCGAAGGCAGGUCUCUGGGCAUUAACUGACGCUGAGGAGCGAAAGCAUGGGGAGCGAACAGGAUUAGAUACCCUGGUAGUCCAUGCCGUAAACGUUGGGCACUAGGUGUGGGGGACAUUCCACGUUUUCCGCGCCGUAGCUAACGCAUUAAGUGCCCCGCCUGGGGAGUACGGCCGCAAGGCUAAAACUCAAAGGAAUUGACGGGGGCCCGCACAAGCGGCGGAGCAUGCGGAUUAAUUCGAUGCAACGCGAAGAACCUUACCAAGGCUUGACAUGAACCGGUAACGCCUGGAAACAGGUGCCCCGCUUGCGGUCGGUUUACAGGUGGU